rnacentral:sRNA from 1 species
CAAUAAAGUAAGCUAAAGAAAAGAAAAUGUUAUUAAGAAAAUCAUAAGGAAGAGAAAAUAUAUGUACUAUUCAUUAAGGGGAAGUAUAUCAUCAUAAAGGUCUUCAUCCUCGUCGUCUUCACGAUGAGUGGGCCUAGGAGGAGGAGGGACAGGAGGGGCUGGUCUUACUCCCUCAGGGGUGGCAGAGGUGGAAGAAAAUCCAGCUAUCAGUGGACCCACACAGUUCACACCUGUGUUGCUUAAGUAUAGGUGAUACUACAUUCAUUUUCUCUUGCUGUGUAACAGAUUAUCUCAAAACCCAGUGGCUUAAAACAAUAAACAUUACCUCUCAGUUUGGUUGUGGGUCAGAAAUCCUGCAACAGCUUGGCAGGGCGGUUGUGGCUCAGCUAUCUCCUGAGGUUGCAGUCAGGAUGCCAGCGGAGGCUGCAGGAGCCCCUUCCAGGAUGGUUCCGUCACAUGGCUGUGGGCUGGAGGCCUCAGCUCCUCACCACAGAGGCUCUCCAGAGGGCUGGUUGUGUGUCUUCACAGCAUGACAGCUGGCUCCCUUCCCCAGGGGGUGUGACCCAAGAUAGAGGGAAAACCCGCAGCGUUAUGGUGUCUUUUGUGACUGAGUUAUGGGAGACUCCCACUGUCAAUUCCACCAUAUUAAGUGACUAAGUCUAGACCAUAUUUAAGGCUAGGGGAGUAAAGCUCCAACUCUUAGAGGGAGGAGUAUACAGUAAUUUGCAGACAUAUUAUAGAACCACCAUAUGUACAUUUUUCAUAGAGUUUGGGAAUGAAAUAGUAAAAGGUAUAUAGAAAACUAAGAAAAGGGCAAAUUCUUGGGGGCUGGGAUGAGGAAGUGAUUAGCACCAGGGAAAACCAAAGUUUAUACCAGAAAGGAACUCUAAUCUUAGGCUGCCAUAUUAAGCCAUGUGGCUGGGCUACAUUGUGUUAAGUCACUGAUGAAUGAUCUAAACAAGAGUCUGGAUAUAACCAAAUCAGGAAGGCUUGAAGAAUGUGUGUGUUAUUGGGGGGAACGGUGUCCACAGUAGGAGGUAGAUGGUUAUGUAAAACUAGAGAAAAGGAACUGAUAUAAAGUGUUAGUUGGAAUAUAUUAAUAAUUGUCAGCGGAAACAGCUUAAAGUGCUAAAUGUGCUUCAGGGGAGUGAAAAGCAGGGAUGGGUGAGGAACCUGUGGUUUUGUCCUGUGCCUCAUUAAACUAUAUUUAUGCUUAGCCAUAGGAAAAAUAAACAUUCACAUCUUAAAAGUAGUAAGUGAAAGAAUCGGUUUUCUUAGGGGGCAGGUCUUUUUAAAGUUUAUAUUUCACCUAAUAGGCCGUCAGAUUCUCCUUUUUCCAUGUACAAUAUUUUGAGUUCUGAAGAAUGUCCAGGGUCGUGCAGCUGUCACAGCCCGGACACAGAGCAAUUCCUUCCCCCAGAAAACCAGAUGUGUUUUGAGAAGAAACUGUUGGGAUUUACUAAUUUCAUUCUGAUUUGCUUUUUAUUUCCCUUUUUAAGGGAGGUGGAUCUGCCCACCAUAGACCUUUGGCAGUAUCUGAAGAUCUUUAGUAGUCGCGGCUAGGGGGCUGCUGCUGGCAUAGGGCGGGUAGAAGUUGGGGACACUGCCAAACAUCCUCCUCUGUACAGGACAGCCCCCACUUCCCAGAACUCCCUGGUCCAGAGUGGCAGUUAUACUGAGCUUGAGAAGCCCUGGAGUGCAUUCCAUUGUUCUUCUCUUGUUUCCUGGGAAUUCAGAUUAAAUUUAGAGUAUUGGAGUUCAUUUUCAUUGUAUGGUGCUGGGUAGAAAAGUCCGUAAAUAGAACUGUUACAUGUCCUUGAUACUUUGGGGAAAUACAUGAUAUAAAUAUAUGAUAGAGUCUUUUAAUAGCUGCCUUAUUUGAAAUUGGAAUUCUCUAUUCUGAGUGAUUGAUGACUGCAUUGGUCGGGUCUUUGUGUGUAGAUAAUCCAGGCACAUGGCGGCACUGUUGACCCCACGUUCACGAGUCGAUGCACACACCUUCUCUGUGAGAGUCAAGUCAGCAGCGCGUAUGCACAGGCAAUAAGAGAAAGAAAGAGAUGUGUCACUGCACACUGGUUAAACACAGUCUUAAAGAAGAAGAAAAUGGUACCGCCGCACCGAGCCCUUCACUUCCCAGUGGCCUUCCCACCAGGAGGAAAGCCGUGUUCACAGCAUAUUAUUUCUGUGACUGGAUUUGUUGAUAGUGACAGAGAUGACCUAAAAUUAAUGGCUUAUUUGGCAGGUGCCAAAUAUACGGGUUAUCUAUGCCGCAGCAACACAGUCCUCAUCUGUAAAGAACCAACUGGUUUAAAGUAUGAAAAAGCCAAAGAGUGGAGGAUACCCUGUGUCAACGCCCAGUGGCUUGGCGACAUUCUUCUGGGAAACUUUGAGGCACUGAGGCAGAUUCAGUAUAGUCGCUACACGGCAUUCAGUCUGCAGGAUCCAUUUGCCCCUACCCAGCAUUUAGUUUUAAAUCUUUUAGAUGCUUGGAGAGUUCCCUUAAAAGUGUCUGCAGAGUUGUUGAUGAGUAUAAGACUACCUCCCAAACUGAAACAGAAUGAAGUAGCUAAUGUCCAGCCUUCUUCCAAAAGAGCCAGAAUUGAAGACGUACCACCUCCCACUAAAAAGCUAACUCCAGAAUUGACCCCUCUUGUGCUUUUCACUGGAUUCGAGCCUGUCCAGGUUCAACAGUAUAUUAAGAAGCUCUACAUUCUUGGUGGAGAGGUUGCGGAGUCUGCACAGAAGUGCACACACCUCAUUGCCAGCAAAGUGACUCGCACCGUGAAGUUCCUGACGGCGAUUUCUGUCGUGAAGCACAUAGUGACGCCAGAGUGGCUGGAAGAAUGCUUCAGGUGUCAGAAGUUCAUUGAUGAGCAGAACUACAUUCUCCGAGAUGCUGAGGCAGAAGUACUUUUCUCUUUCAGCUUGGAAGAAUCCUUAAAACGGGCACACGUUUCUCCACUCUUUAAGGUACACUUUAAGGGAAAAGUAAAUCAGUCCAAGUAAGCAUAACACACGGACCUGCUCAAGGGAACUACCAGGCAAAAUAUUUUUACAUCACACCUGGAAUCUGCCCAAGUCUUUCCACUAUGAAGGCAAUUGUAGAGUGUGCAGGAGGAAAGGUGUUAUCCAAGCAGCCAUCUUUCCGGAAGCUCAUGGAGCACAAGCAGAACUCGAGUUUGUCGGAAAUAAUUUUAAUAUCCUGUGAAAAUGACCUUCAUUUAUGCCGAGAAUAUUUUGCCAGAGGCAUAGAUGUUCACAAUGCAGAGUUCGUUCUGACUGGAGUGCUCACUCAAACGCUGGACUAUGAAUCAUAUAAGUUUAACUGAUGGCGUCUAGGCUGCCGUGCAUGUCGACUCCUGUGGUGCGGGGCUGGCUGGCUGGCUGGCGAGGAGCUGCCGCGCUUCCUUCACAUGCUCUUGUUUUCCAGCUGCUUUCCUGGGGGAUCAGACUGUGAAGCAGGAAGACAGAUAUAAUAAAUAUACUGCAUCUUUUUAAGAUGUGCAAUUUUAUUCUGAGGAAACAUAAAUUAUGUUUUGUAUUAUAUGACUUUAAGAGCCCACAUUAGGUUUUAUGCUUCAUUUGCCAGGUUUUUAAAUGUUUUCACAAAACUGUUACGGGACUUCAACUAGAAAUAAAAUGGUGUAAAUAAAGACCUUGCUAUCUCUAAAUUAUGGAUGUUAAAGAUUUGAAAUGUUUUGUACUUUGAUUAUUUUUAUUUCUUAUACUCUGUUUUCUUUUAUAUUGAUAUCUUGCCCACAUUUUAAAUAAAUGUACUUUUGAACUUAG